rnacentral:rRNA from 1 species
CAGGCCUAACACAUGCAAGUCGAACGGCAGCACGGACUUCGGUCUGGUGGCGAGUGGCGAACGGGUGAGUAAAGUAUCGGAACGUACCUUUCAGUGGGGGAUAACGUAGCGAAAGUUACGCUAAUACCGCAUAUUCUGUGAGCAGGAAAGCAGGGGACCUUCGGGCCUUGCGCUGAUUGAGCGGCCGAUAUCAGAUUAGCUAGUUGGUGGGGUAAAAGCUCACCAAGGCGACGAUCUGUAGCGGGUCUGAGAGGAUGAUCCGCCACACUGGAACUGAGACACGGUCCAGACUCCUACGGGAGGCAGCAGUGGGGAAUUUUGGACAAUGGGGGCAACCCUGAUCCAGCCGGGCCGCGUGAGUGAAGAAGGCCUUCGGGUUGUAAAGCUAUGGCGGCCGGGAAAAAAUCGCAUAGGUUAAUACCCUGGUGGAUGAUGGUACCGGA